AGAGGCAUUUUCACAGGGGCAUCGGGGCUUCAGAUCGCCUAUGUCAGUGGUAGAGAAGCUCAACAUGAACCUGCUCUUUCACACUGCUUCACCUCUAAAGACAUCACUGCCCUGGUGGCCCCGCUUCUGUCUAACUCCAAAUUUCGAGGAGUGGACAUUCUCCUGACCUCGCAGUGGCCUCGAGGCGUAUGGCAGUAUGGAAACAGUCCCGAAACUGAUACAAAGUUUUGUGGGGUUUCGUCCAUCGCAGAUCUCGCUGACAAGCUGAAGCCCCGCUACCAUUUUGCGGGACUGGAAGCGGUGCAUUAUGAGAGGCUACCUUACAGGAAUCAUGUGGUCCUUCAAGAGAAUGCACAGCAUGUCAGUAGAUUCAUCGCUUUGGCAACUGUCAACAAUCCUGCCAAAAAGAAGGUG